CGCAGGUAUUUCAAAAUGGCCGCGGACAGGUCAUCGGAGAAGUUGUCCCCGCUGCGAAGUUUGAGCAGCUUUAAAUCAGAAAUUCCGUUGACUAUGGAUGACACAACAGGACCUAGCAACGCAAAGUCAUGCCAUCAACAUCUCGACCAAUUCAUCAAUAGCAUUCCCCUCCACGUCUCCGCACUCAUCCUCGUCCUGGCAGACUGCUUCAUCGUCGUGUCCGAGCUGCUCUUCUCCUACAACAUGAUCAUGAAUGUUCAAGCUGACGACAAGACAAUGGUGCUGUUGGCUCUGUCUUCGACUAGCCUGGCCAUCGUGUCUCUCUUUUUGCUUGAGGUCGUUGUCAGAAUAUUCAGCAUGGGUGCCCACUUUAGAAGGAGAAAAAUGGAGAUAUUUGACGUCGUCGUGGUCGUCGUGACCUUUGUCGCGGACCUGGUCUUCUUUGUCAUCCAUCUUCAGGAUGAGGGCACGAACACAUUCCCCUUUGCCCGAGCCUUCUCUUUUCUGGUGGCCCUGCGCCUGUGGAGGUGCUGGGGCAUCCUUCGCGGCGAGAAGAAGAGAGUACGGGAGGAGACGGCGUGCGAGUUGGAUAUGGAGAGGUACGCCCGGCGGCAGGCAGAGGCCCAGGCAGACGUACUGCAGGCACAGUGCGACCAGCAGCUGAAAGAGAUUGCCUAUCUGAGAGACUUCCUCCACCAGAAUAACCUGUACCCCGACACGACGAAGCUGGACUUCGUGCCAAACUACCGCACCAGUGCCUCCAUUUCCUCAAGUGCAAUUGACUAUGAGAAGGCCGACACGCUCCGAGUGAACGGCAAACUCAGCAAAGAUGCCUCUUUAGACAGCAUUGCCUCUUCUGCCAAGGAGCUGGCCACGUCACUCUCCUCUUCCCAGAACAUCUACAGUGAGCCCCCGACCUUGAGCAGCGGGCCCCUGAGCAGUUCGCCAGCCCCCUCGGUGUCCUCACACCACCGAGAUGAAGGGCCCACAAGCGAGGACUUCGCCUCGCGAACGUCCCGGGAGAUCGUCCAGGAGGCUGUGGCCGAGGUGCAGCAGAAAAUGUCCCCGUCAAAGCGUGGUGGGCUCUCAAAUGCCGGCUUCACUCCCGACGAAGAAGGCCAAUCCUCGAACGCAGGUGUGGCAGAGAGGAGGGGGGUGGAUGGGGAGGAAAACAGAGGGACGACAAAUUUGGCUUUCGAGGGGGACACUCCUGAACCGUGCAGCCCAGCUAACAGUGAGAAAACAGACUCGGAAGGGGAGAGCGAGGCCCAACUGCGGAUCGAGUUGGACGAGAUAAGGCGGCUGUCAGAAGAGGCUCUGCGAAACGAGCUGGCAUCGUCCAACACAACAGAGGUGGACGGGAUCCCCACGACUUCCCUGUGAUCAAGAACACAAAAGACAACAGUCACUCUAGCCAACCAAAGAUCAUGCGUUAAAAGGAUUGUGUACAAGACUCUUCUUGCAAGUUCGGGACACAGAAGGUUUUCGGAGCUCUUCAAAGCUGAGGAAUCGUGAAAGGUAACCUCUUCAAAAGUGCUCUGCAGUGUCACAAGUACUGUCAAGUCUGGUCAAAUUACGAUGACAAAACCCGUGGGUUACCCAGCAAAGUGAAUUUGACGCAGUCACGAAUACUAUUGGCACAACACACUCUGGUGGCAUCAGCAGAGGGCGAUAUGACGGAGAAAAG
rnacentral:misc_RNA from 1 species